rnacentral:tRNA from 1 species
GCCAGAGUGCUGGAAUGGUAGACAGGCACGGCUUAGGACCGUGUGUCCAAAAGACGUAGGAGUUCGAGUCUCCUCUCUGGCACUA